CCAGAAGAACGAUAUCGAACGCAUACAAGUGGUUCCAUAAUAUCACCACUCAGGGGGCUUAGCUCGCCGAAAAUCACAUCGACAUGGCCAUGGACUUGUUGUGCGAUCGAGUUGAGAGAUAUCCACAAUCAUUCUACAAGCCUGGCCGAAUAAUACUGAACACCGAGUUCUUCCGUGCCGUUACCAUUGAGUAUCAGUCGCUCAAGCUUAUGGGUAACGAGUACGUGCUGCCCGCAGAUAUGCUCGAGUGGGUCAUCGGGUUGUCACCGACUGUUGGGGAAAAGCCGUGGAGGGCUGUACGCAUACGUACAUUCCAGUGAUCAUCAAUCGUCACUGCAAUGCACUAAAGAUUGUGUUCCCUGAGUCGAAAAUAUAUGUAUAUGACCCCGAUCAUUCAUGUCUGACGCAGGGGCAAAUCGAGCAGGACUUAGAGCCGGUGACUGUGAUCGUUCCUAUGAUGGCUAGACGGGCGAGCUUGACUAUACAGGACAGACUAGCCAUCAUUCGGGAUAAGACGACGGCUAGGCAGUCUAUAUCGGUCGACUAUGACAUUUUCGUAAUCAAGUACAUAGAAUUUUUGAGUAUAGCACAUAAGGUUGAUGGAUUCAACCAGUUAUGGAUACAGAAUUGGCGGAAUAAGUUAGCGUGCGACUUAUUCGAAUUUA